UACGUAGGGAGCAAGCGUUAUCCGGAUUUAUUGGGUGUAAAGGGUGCGUAGACGGGAAAACAAGUUGGUUGUGAAAUCCCUCGGCUUAACUGAGGAACUGCAACCAAAACUAUUUUUCUUGAGUGCUGGAGAGGAAAGUGGAAUUCCUAGUGUAGCGGUGAAAUGCGUAGAUAUUAGGAGGAACACCAGUGGCGAAGGCGAUUUGCUGGGCCAUCACUGACGCUGAGGUACGAAAGCGUGGGGAGCAAAUAGG
rnacentral:rRNA from 1 species